rnacentral:tRNA from 1 species
AAGAUUAAUUUUAUAGACUUCUAAUCUAUUAAUAAUGAUUUUUUUUUCAUUUAAUCUUU